rnacentral:rRNA from 1 species
CCUUACCUACUCUUGACAUCCAGAGAACUUUCCAGAGAUGGAUUGGUGCCUUCGGGAACUCUGAGACAGGUGCUGCAUGGCUGUCGUCAGCUCGUGUUGUGAAAUGUUGGGUUAAGUCCCGCAACGAGCGCAACCCUUAUCCUUUGUUGCCAGCGGUCCGGCCGGGAACUCAAAGGAGACUGCCAGUGAUAAACUGGAGGAAGGUGGGGAUGACGUCAAGUCAUCAUGGCCCUUACGAGUAGGGCUACACACGUGCUACAAUGGCGCAUACAUAGAGAAGCGACCUCGCGAGAGCAAGCGGACCUCAUAAAGCCUUCUAUCCGGAUUGGAGUCUGCAACUCGACUCCAUGAAGUCGGAAUCGCUAGUAAUCGUAGAUCAG